AUUGAACGCUGGCGGCAUGCUUUACACAUGCAAGUCGAACGGUAACAGGUUAAGCUGACGAGUGGCGAACGGGUGAGUAAUGCAUCGGAACGUGCCCGAUCGUGGGGGAUAACGCAGCGAAAGCUGCGCUAAUACCGCAUACGAUCUGAGGAUGAAAGCGGGGGACCGUAAGGCCUCGCGCGAUCGGAGCGGCCGAUGUCUGAUUAGGUAGUUGGUGGGGUAAAGGCCCACCAAGCCGACGAUCUGUAGCUGGUCUGAGAGGACGACCAGCCACACUGGGACGGAGACACGGCCCAGACUCCUACGGGAGGCAGCAGUGGGGAAUUUUGGACAAUGGGCGAAAGCCUGAUCCAGCAAUGCCGCGUGCAGGAAGAAGGCCUUCGGGUUGUAAACUGCUUUUGUACGGAGCGAAAAGGUCCUUUCUAAUACAGGGGGCUCAUGACGGUACCGUAAGAAUAAGCACCGGCUAACUACGUGCCAGCAGCCGCCGUAA
rnacentral:rRNA from 1 species